rnacentral:misc_RNA from 1 species
AACGCAUCUUGCGCCUUUUGGAAUUCCGAAAGGCACACUUGUUUGAGUGUCAUAAAAAUAUCAAUUUCUUUUGUAAUAAAAUGGAGUUGGAUUAUGAGUGUUGCUGUGUUACAGCUCACUUGAAAUGUAUUAGUCCUUCAAUGCCGGAUAGACUUGGUGUAAUAAGACCAUUCAUCAAGGAUAUGCUCUUGCAGGCCGGCCAAUUAAAGGUACUGAAAAAUGCUCAUUAUAAUUUGGACAUCAAAUCAAGUGGGAUCACCCGCUGAACUUAA